ACUUGCACUGCGAACACAAAUAGGAUACCGAAUCUUAAUCUAUUAGAAAUCCAUUACAUAUAUAAUUUCAAAUGAUUGGCUAAUCAGAUGUCAAUCAUUGGCAUCAUUAACCAAUACAGGGCAUUAAAAAAAUUAUCCCCUCCCCCUAAGCUUGAAAAGACCACGAUCUGUGAGGAUUUGCAGAUUCAAUUUGCUUGCAAGUUUGAUUCUUUUUUCUCCUCACUCCUCAAUACAAUAUAAUAACAUGGACCAUAUGAAAUUAAAGCGCUAUAGGGUGGCUACCUGAAGCUUUUGGUUGUUCCUUGUUCGGUGUUGCCGCAUAAGACUGAACCGAAAAAUCACAAAAUGCAACACAACAAGGGGGUCGUUAGACCGUAGCUUACGCGAAGGAAGGAUUGACAAAUCUAUAGUGACGGGUCUAUUUUCUUCUAGGCGAGCUGUGAAGCUACUUUUUCUUUCUUUCAUUCCAUCUGUCUUGCUUGAUUUGUUAAACAGGGUGCUUUGAUAAGACUGUUCCGCAGAGAGUUUCUAUGAUGGCCCCAAAACACACCCAUUUUUCAAUCGUAGAGAGACUUUUCAAUUGCGAGCUACGAUUAGAGCUCAAUA